rnacentral:rRNA from 1 species
CAUGCAUGUCUAAGUUUAAACGAAUCAAAGUGAAACCGCGAACGGCUCAUUACAACAGCGAUAAUUGACUAAACGAUGUUAAUCCUUUAAAUGGAUAACUGUGGUAAUUCUAGAGCUAAUACAUGGUUUGUAACAAAACGUUUAUCGGUUUGUUCAUUUAUUAGAUCAAAACCAAGCGACUCCGGUCGUUUAUGUUGGUGACUCUUAGUAACUUUGUUAAUCGCAUGGACUUGUUCCGGCGAUACGUUUAUCAAGUUUCUGCCCUAUCAACUUUUGAUGGUUGUGUAUUUGACAACCAUGGUGGUGACGGGUAACGGAGAAUUAGGGUUUGACUCCGGAGAGGGAGCCUGAGAAACGGCUACCACAUCCAAGGAAGGCAGCAGGCGCGAAAAUUACCCACUCUCAGUUCGAGGAGGUAGUGACGAAAAAUAACAAGACUGGUCGCUUUGCGAACAGUUAUUGGAAUGGGUACAAUUUAAACUCUUUAACGAGGACCUAUGAGAGGGCAAGUCUGGUGCCAGCAGCCGCGGUAAUUCCAGCUCUCAAAAUGUACUUAACCAUUGUUGCGGUUAAAAAGCUCGUAGUUGGAUCUUUGCGUCGUAGUAUGGUUCGUUCUUUGAACGCUACUAUGCUGUGAUGCUCUUAUUUGCAGGUUUUCGGCUAGUGUUCUUAACGGGAUGUUAGUUGUGGCUUGCGAGUUUACUUUGAAUUAAUUAGAGUGCUUAAAACAGGCGUUUUGCUUGAAUAUUCUAGCAUGGAAUAAUGGAAUAGGAUUUCGGUUCGAUUUUAUUGGUUUUAUGGAGCGAAAUAAUGAUUAGUAGGAAUAAACGGGGGCAUUCGUAUUGUUACGUUAGAGG